CCCCGUACACAAAAAUGCACAUGCUGUGAGCUCGAUGAGUAGGGCGGGACACGUGGUAUCCUGUCUGAAUAUGGGGGGACCAUCCUCCAAGGCUAAAUACUCCUGACUGACCGAUAGUGAACCAGUACCGUGAGGGAAAGGCGAAAAGAACCCCGGCGAGGGGAGUGAAAAAGAACCUGAAACCGUGUACGUACAAGCAGUGGGAGCACGCUUAGGCGUGUGACUGCGUACCUUUUGUAUAAUGGGUCAGCGACUUAUAUUCUGUAGCAAGGUUAACCGAAUAGGGGAGCCGAAGGGAAACCGAGUCUUAACUGGGCGUUAAGUUGCAGGGUAUAGACCCGAAACCCGGUGAUCUAGCCAUGGGCAGGUUGAAGGUUGGGUAACACUAACUGGAGGACCGAACCGACUAAUGUUGAAAAAUUAGCGGAUGACUUGUGGCUGGGGGUGAAAGGCCAAUCAAACCGGGAGAUAGCUGGUUCUCCCCGAAAGCUAUUUAGGUAGCGCCUCGUGAAUUCAUCUCCGGGGGUAGAGCACUGUUUCGGCAAGGGGGUCAUCCCGACUUACCAACCCGAUGCAAACUGCGAAUACCGGAGAAUGUUAUCACGGGAGACACACGGCGGGUGCUAACGUCCGUCGUGAAGAGGGAAACAACCCAGACCGCCAGCUAAGGUCCCAAAGUCAUGGUUAAGUGGGAAACGAUGUGGGAAGGCCCAGACAGCCAGGAUGUUGGCUUAGAAGCAGCCAUCAUUUAAAGAAAGCGUAAUAGCUCACUGGUCGAGUCGGCCUGCGCGGAAGAUGUAACGGGGCUAAACCAUGCACCGAAGCUGCGGCAGCGACGCUGAUGCGUUGUUGGGUAGGGGAGCGUUCUGUAAGCCUGUGAAGGUGUGCUGUGAGG
rnacentral:rRNA from 1 species